rnacentral:rRNA from 1 species
GAUGAACGCUGGCGGCGUGCCUAAUACAUGCAAGUCGAGCGAACGGACCAGAAGCUUGCUUCUCUGAUUUUAUCGGCGGACGGGUGCUUAACACGUGGAUAACCUACCUCUCCGACUGGGAUAACUUCGGCAAACCGUAUCUACUACCCGAUAAUAUUUUGACCCUCAUUGUUCCAACGUUGAAUACGCUCUUGCUUUCACUUAUAGCUUGAUCCGCGCUGCAUGAGUUCGUUGGGAAGGUGACGGCUUACCAACGCACCGAGGGAUAGCCGACCUAAGAGGGUGAUCCGCCACACGGGAAGUGAGGCGAAGGGCAGACUCCGAAGGGAGGCAGCGGUAGGGAAUCUUCCGCAAUGGGCGAAAGCGGGAGGGAGCAACGCCGCGUGAGGGAUGAAGGUCUUAGGAUCGGAAAGAUCUGUUAGUAGGGAAGAACAUAUGUGUAAGUAACGGUGAAGAUAUUGACGGUACCGAAUGAGAAAGCCACGGCUAACUACGUG